AUUUUUUAUUAUUUUAUAACAAUAACAAAAUUUAAAAAAACAUGUUUCUUAUUAUUUUAUUGCAUAAAAAAGGUGUUCAAGAGAAGUUAAAGAAACAGAUUAAAGAAGUGGAACUUGCACAAUCGAAAGAGUGUUCAAGUUAUUGGUGGAAUCUAUGUGGCCUUCAGCCACUUGGGUGAGAUAAGGACACUUGGCAUGCUACAUUCAAGAUUUAAAUGGGUUACUUCAGCUUUCUAUGAACACCUUGUGCCAAUGCAAAAAAAGGAGCCUAAAAGAUAUCAUGGAGAUUAUGACACAAGAUGUUAUGAAUGAUGG